CCGUGAGGGUUGGGUUAAGUCCCGCAACGAGCGCAACCCUAUUGCUAGUUGCCAUCACAUAAUGGUGGGCACUCUAGUGAGACUGCCCGGGUCAACCGGGAGGAAGGUGGGGACGACGUCAAGUCAUCAUGGCCCUUACGUCCAGGGCUACACACGUACUACAAUGGUGGAUACAGAGGGUCGCGAAGCCGCGAGGUCGAGCCAAUCCCAGAAAAUCCAUCCCAGUCCGGAUCGCAGUCUGCAACUCGACUGUGUGAAGUUGGAAUCGCUAGUAAUCCCAGAUCAGCAUGCUGGGGUGAAUACGUUCCCGGGCCUUGUACACACCGCCCGUCACACCACGAAAGCUGGUUCUACCCAAAAUCGACGGACUAACCUUCGGGAGGUAGUCGCCUACGGUAGGGCUGGUAAUUGGGGUGAAGUCGUAACAAGGUACCA
rnacentral:rRNA from 1 species